UACAGGGGGGGCAAGCGUUGUUCGGAAUUACUGGGCGUAAAGGGCUCGUAGGCGGCCAACUAAGUCCGACGUGAAAUCCCAAAGCUUAACUUUGGAACUGCGUCGGAUACUGGAUGGCUUGAAUUCGGGAGAGGGAUGCAGAAUUCCAGGUGUAGCGGUGAAAUGCGUAGAUAUCUGGAGGAACACCAAUGGCGAAGGCAGCUCGCUGGGACGUUACUGACGCUGAGACGCGAAAGCGUGGGGAGCGAACAGG
rnacentral:rRNA from 1 species